GAGUUUGAUCAUGGCUCAGAACGAACGCUGGCGGCAUGCCUAACACAUGCAAGUCGAACGAGACCUUCGGGUCUAGUGGCGCACGGGUGCGUAACGCGUGGGAACCUGCCCUUAGGUUCGGAAUAACUCCUCGAAAGGGGUGCUAAUACCGGAUAAUGUCUUCGGACCAAAGAUUUAUCGCCUUUGGAUGGGCCCGCGUUGGAUUAGCUAGUUGGUGGGGUAAAGGCCUACCAAGGCGACGAUCCAUAGCCGGCCUGAGAGGAUGAUCAGCCACACUGGGACUGAGACACGGCCCAGACUCCUACGGGAGGCAGCAGUGGGGAAUAUUGGACAAUGGGCGAAAGCCUGAUCCAGCCAUGCCGCGUGAGUGAUGAAGGCCUUAGGGUUGUAAAGCUCUUUCAGUAGGGAAGAUAAUGACGGUACCUACAGAAGAAGCCCGGCUAACUUCGUGCCAGCAGCCGCCGCGGUAAG
rnacentral:rRNA from 2 species